rnacentral:rRNA from 1 species
CCUACGGGAGGCAGCAGUGGGGAAUUUUGCACAAUGGGCGGAAGCCUGAUGCAGCGACGCCGCGUGGAGGAUGAAGGCCUUCGGGUUGUAAACUCCUUUUGUAGGGGACGAUGGUGACGGUACUCUACGAAUAAGCCACGGCUAACUCUGUGCCAGCAGCCGCGGUAAGACAGAGGUGGCGAGCGUUGUCCGGAAUUAUUGGGCGUAAAGCGCGCGCAGGCGGUCCUUUAAGUCUGGUGUGAAAGCCCACGGCUCAACCGUGGAGGGUCAUUGGAAACUGGGGGACUUGAGUGCAGAAGAGGAAAGCGGAAUUCCACGUGUAGCGGUGAAAUGCGUAGAGAUGUGGAGGAACACCAGUGGCGAAGGCGGCUUUCUGGUCUGUAACUGACGCUGAGGCGCGAAAGCGUGGGGAGCAAACAGGAUUAGAUACCCUGGUAGUCCACGCCGUAAACGAUGAGUGCUAAGUGUUAGAGGGUUUCCGCCCUUUAGUGCUGCAGCAAACGCAUUAAGCACUCCGCCUGGGGAGUACGGCCGCAAGGCUGAAACUCAAAGGAAUUGACGG